CUUCCAGACAUUGACUCCGGCAGUUCUGUCCAACUCUUAGCAGGUGCACAUCAUAACGGCGUUGAAAUCAAACGCGGACGACUUAAUGUCAUGGUUUCUACAAGAAACUUUCCGCUUAAGAUACCUAAGAAAAUUCAUUCAUCUUCGAUUUCAAUUGCUUUUAUGUUUUACAUUUCUUAUAGGUGAAUUCGAUCUAUACUCCUUUUCAGAGAAGUUGGAAUAGCAGUCGCAGUACUGAAUCAAGGUCGAAAAUGUCGCAAAUAACAACCUUUCAUGACAUUUCAGGGAUUUGCAACCAUGAAGCAAAGAUCCUUGGCCUGAAGGAAAAACUUGGACUUGAAAGAGUUGAAAUCCAUACCAAAAGGAACGUAAGCUUUCACCACCGCAAAACUAUACCAGUCUCUCGCAUAUAAAAUGCUCUGAGAGAUCUGGGCUUACAGUUGGAGCCCCACUCCUAUACAAUAUAUGAGUAAAAGCUAAAGCCACGGACUCUGGAACGGCUAUCUGAUGGUGAAUACAGAGGAUAGUUGAUAUUGAUGCCUGCUUCUUGUCCAGUGAACUUUUCUUAUAUAGAAAUUCCAAAAGACUUCAAAUAGUAUUUAUAGUAAAUAUCUUGGUAGCAUUAGGUACAGUUGUUAAAGUAUUCUUCAAAAACUCUAAUAUAGUUAAAAAAUAACUUUGCUU